rnacentral:lncRNA from 1 species
AGAGGUUGGAGAGUUUUACAGUGAGAAACAUUACAUUUUUGUUGCAGCCAUUUGAGAGGAAGAAAGAGAAUGUGUAAAUUUUCUUUAUAUAUGGAGACAAAAAUUCCAAUUAGGUUAGAUAUUUUCGAUAUAGAAGAUUUAUUGGGAAGUCUUCUAAGAGAAGACUUCUUUGAAAGUCUUCUAAGAGAAGACUUCUUGGAAGUCUUCUAGAUCCUAAAUUCAAAUACAUGAGAAGACUUCUAGAAGACUUCUGGAAGAUUUCGCUUUAGGCGGGAAACCUAUAUUCUA